UUUACUCAAUUAAGCUUUGUUUUCUCUUAAUUGUCCAUUAUAAGCAGUAGUGGCAAUAAAAAAUAUAUGCAUACAGUUAAUAGUUCAAAAAUCAGGUGACAUUAUGCUUGCUGCGUGUAGUUUAAUCAAAUAUUAAACCAGUUUGGAAGAGCAAGGCGAGCAGGAGGCUCGCUCGCCACAUGCAAGCGCAUUUAUGACGCGGAUGGCGAACGGCGACUGCUGACUGGCGAAAACAACUGCUAUUGCGUCGUCUUCGCCAUUUGCAUUUCCCGCUGGAAACAAGAGCUGCUGUACUGUACAUAUAUGCAUAUGUAGGCAUAUACCUUCUAUAAUUACAAAAAUUAACAGCAAUUCGUAAAAAAGCUAGAGGGAUGGUCUUGAUAGUUAGACAGUAUGAUAAAGGAUCCUACUCCUGGUCUAGUUGCUGCACGAAAUUAUUAACUGAUUGAAUAUCCUCUUGUUAUCAAGGGGGAGCACUAGCUACUUAAGUUCAUUAAAAUAUAUUUUAAAAAAAUA